rnacentral:siRNA from 1 species
GUAGCCAUUGUAAACUCUAAUACU